rnacentral:rRNA from 1 species
UGGGGAAUAUUGCACAAUGGGCGCAAGCCUGAUGCAGCCAUGCCGCGUGUAUGAAGAAGGCCUUCGGGUUGUAAAGUACUUUCAGCGAGGAGGAAGGUGUUGUGGUUAAUAACCGCAGCAAUUGACGUUACUCGCAGAAGAAGCACCGGCUAACUCCGUGCCAGCAGCCGCGGUAAUACGGAGGGUGCAAGCGUUAAUCGGAAUUACUGGGCGUAAAGCGCACGCAGGCGGUCUGUCAAGUCGGAUGUGAAAUCCCCGGGCUCAACCUGGGAACUGCAUCCGAAACUGGCAGGCUAGAGUCUUGUAGAGGGGGGUAGAAUUCCAGGUGUAGCGAUGAAAUGCGUAGAGAUCUGGAGGAAUACCGGUGGCGAAGGCGGCCCCCUGGACAAAGACUGACGCUCAGGUGCGAAAGCGUGGGGAGCAAACA